rnacentral:rRNA from 1 species
CUACGGUGAAUACGUUCCCGGACCUUGUACACACCGCCCGUCAAGCCAUGGAAGCUGGGUGUACCUAAAGUCGAUAACCGUAAGGAGUCGCCUAGGGUAAAACUAGUAACUGGGGCUA